CGAACGGGUGAGUAAUAUAUCGGAACGUGCCCAGUAGUGGGGGAUAACUGCUCGAAAGAGCAGCUAAUACCGCAUACGACCUGAGGGUGAAAGGGGGGGAUCGCAAGACCUCUCGCUAUUGGAGCGGCCGAUAUCAGAUUAGCUAGUUGGUAGGGUAAAGGCCUACCAAGGCAACGAUCUGUAGUUGGUCUGAGAGGACGACCAGCCACACUGGGACUGAGACACGGCCCAG
rnacentral:rRNA from 1 species